rnacentral:misc_RNA from 1 species
GAUCGUGACAACAGAGUCCGUUCAAUGACUGGUACAGUCAUAAAGUUACUUGUUGGACGAGUCAGCCCCCGCUCACUCCAGUCAAUUCUUGAGUUUAGUCGGUCCUGGUAUCUGGGAGAUAAACCACAUUUAUGGAGUGCUGCAGCACAGGUUUUGGGGUUACUCAUUGAAGUACUUAAAGAUGGUUUCCAAAAGUAUAUUGAUAGCCUUCUACCUGUUAUGAGAAACAUCUUGCAAUCUGCUGUUAAUGUUCUUACAAAUAAGCAAGUGGAUCUACCGAAUGAUGCAACAAUUUCAUCUUGGAAAGAAG